GUUUGCUGCAUAAAAGCAAGUAUCAACAGACUUGAAAGAAAAUUUAAUUUACAAACUGACUUCCGAACAGCCAUAAAUGAGAUAGGGUUACCGAUAUCGAGCAGGCAGACUUACAUGGCGAUAAAUGCGGACGAAGAAAAAAUAACUGCACUACAGGGGUAUAUGCAAUGUUUGGGAGGAAUUAAUUUACGCGACACCCUCAAUAAAUUUAUGAAAGCAACGUUCACUGAUGAUUUCGUUGCGAAAAACAUUACAUGAAAGCGAGGAAAAGGAGAAAAAUUGCAUUUCAGGGAGUCUGCGAUAUAUAAGUGUAGCCUUUUAUGGAGCUACCAGAAAUAUAGCGAGUCUCGUCGAUAUUAAUUUCAAAAAAUAUUCAGAAGAAAUAAAAAUAGCGAUAAAAAACGCCUCCCAACGACAUUACAUGAUGACAAUCGGACGUCUAUCGAGAGUUCAGGACCAUAGACUUAUAUGAAUAGACGGAGCAUUGCCUAUCCCCUCCUAAGAAAAACGUGUCCCUGAGCGAGUAAUCGGACUGCGAUAGAAAUAGGGAGUGUAC